rnacentral:sRNA from 1 species
AUGUGAUGAAAUAAUCCAGAUGCUGAAUUAUUGUGCUUUUGAUCAAAUAAAUCUGAGGAUUUAAGGAUAACUUGUGAAGUAACAGUAAGUGCAAAGCAACAGUAUAUAUCUAUUUGUUAAAUCUGAGGGGGAAAACAGGUUAUUGAAGAAGUAUGUCUCCAGAGAAAAAUCCAUCUGUUGAAUCUUCAAGUCCAGAAAUGGAUGAAAUGUUUGACUGCCCAUGAAAGUACAGGAGGUUCAGCAACAUCAGAUGACCAUGAAUUUGAUCCAUCAGCUGACAUGCUGGUUCAUGAUUUUGAUGAUGAACGAACAUUAGAAGAGGAAGAAAUGAUGGAAGGAGAAACAAACUUCAGCUCUGAAAUAGAAGAUCUUGCAAGGGAAGGCGACAUGCCAAUUCAUGAACUUCUCAGCCUUUAUGGUUAUGGUAGUACUGUUCGACUACCUGAAGAAGAUGAGGAAGAGGAAGAAGAGGAAGAAGAAGGUGAAGAUGAUGAAGAUGCUGAUAAUGAUGACAACAGUGGCUGUAGUGGGGAAAAUAAAGAGGAGAAUAUAAAGGAUUCAUCAGGUCAGGAGGAUGAAACUCAGUCUUCCAAUGAUGAUCCAUCACAAUCUGUUGCUUCUCAAGAUGCCCAGGAAAUAAUCCGCCCACGUCGAUGUAAAUAUUUUGAUACAAAUAGUGAAGUAGAAGAAGAAUCUGAAGAAGAUGAAGAUUAUAUUCCAUCAGAAGACUGGAAAAAGGUAGUUA